GGGGACGACUGGUUUUGACAGCAAGGUUUGUUAAUAUGUAAGCAUAUCAAGGAAUGAAAUUAUUCUUGUAAAACUUAUUUCAACUUUUUAAACGGCGAAGAUAACUACGCUUUAGCUGCUUAAUCCGAAUCACAGUAGGAUUAGCCUCGGCACACAAGGUGUGCAAGCUUUAUGUCCACGAAAAGCCCUGGUUUACGGCGUUUCACUUUUGGGCAUCGUAAAUGUAAACAUAGAAAACUUGAAGCUUUGGCAAGUUUUUAAAACAAAAAAGAUAAGUCUAAAAUGGAUUGUUCUUAAUCAGCUUUAGAUCGAAAAUCAAGAAAGAACUAUAUAUGUAGAAAGCUUAUUUACUUCUUGUUUGGACCCGAGUUCGAUUCUCGGCGUCUCCACCA
rnacentral:tmRNA from 1 species